CGGGGACAUUUAUAGAGGAGGACACUCCUACAGAGAUCAGCACAGAAACCAACUCAUCACUUUCAAAUGAGAGAUGUCGUAGUGGUCCAGCAACUGAAGCGUACCAAGAAGGAAGAGUAUCAUUUGGACCUCAGACUACAGUGAUCGCGGUUACCCGCACAGCUAUUCUGGUAGAGGGACAACAGGCUUGGAUCCAUGCCAGUCGUGUGAAGAAGGUCGCUUAUUUCACCACAGACUUCUGGGAAAGCCUUGUGCCUCUUAUUCUGGGCUGCCCUGAUCGUGUUCCUGCCAAUUUGGCUGACAACUAACUGUAUUUAUCAUCCUGAAGAUUUGGGACACAUAAAGAGCAUUUGUGGAGCUUCUAACAGUCCACAACAGAAUGAUAUGAAUAAUACACAUGACAGACACAAGAGAAAUGAAAACUCAGAAAGUUUUACAGAUAAAAUGUUAUUAUUGAAGUUUAAAUAUGCCUAUGCACAGAAAUCAGGAUAUGAAAAAUGUUGGAUAUGUAGUAAAUUAUACCCCUCCAGCGUUAGUAUUCCUCUCAUGGCUGUACCUUUAAAUAUCACAAAUGUUCUAUUAUUGUUAAAAUACAAUUAGUACUACAAUGGCAAUUAGAACUGAGGAAGAUCACCCCAGGGAAGAGAUAGAGUGUUAUCAGAUUGUCAGAUUAGCAGAUUUGUAUGAUGCCAAGAUGGGUGAUAUGAAUGAGUAAAAGAUAUGUAUCCACAUACACCUUAAGAAGAUCUUUGCUCCACAUAGAUGUGAAGUAGCACUGUGGACCCUUUGGUGUCAUACUAGGUAGAGAAGAUAUGGUAGUGACCCCGCAAUAGGGUACUGAUAAUGUUGAGAUAUAUAUAUCU